CGCUAAAAGUAUCACGCGUCUAACUGAGAGGAGGAGGAGGCCUAGGAGAGGCAUCAGGCUCCGGCAGAGCAACCUUCUGAUCGAUGCGAUAACCCUGAUGAUGCAACAAUCCUGAUGAUCUGAGAGGAGGAGCAGGCCUAGGAGAGGCAUCCUGCACCAGCGGAACAACCUGAUGACAACGAGCUUCGAUAAUAACAACUCCGCUGUUGCGCAUCUGUGCCGGUGAGUGAACAAAAACUUUUACUUUGAAGUAACGGAUUCGUAGAGAUUGUAGAUGUAGAUGUAUAUGUAGAUUGUAGAUUGUAGAUUGUAGGUAAAUCCGUUGCUUUAAAAUGGAUGAGUUAGGAUAGAUUGAA